rnacentral:tmRNA from 1 species
GUUUCGACUUCGCGCAUCGAAUCAAGGGAAGCGUGCCGGUGCAGGCAAUCGACCACCGUGAGCGUCGUUGCAACCAAUUAAGCGCCGAUUCCAAUCAGCGCGAUUUCGCCCUCGCUGCAUAAGCGACGGUGAGUCUGUCAGACCGGGAGUGCCCUCGGCCCGGACCCUGGCAUCAUCUAGAGGGAUCCACCGUUACGUCCGGUCGCGGGACGUAACGGAACAUCAAACAGCGACUGGGAUCGUCAUCCUGAACUUGUUCGCGUGAGCAGGAGAUCCGAGUAGAGACACAGCGAACUGCGCACGGAGAAGCCUCGAGGGAAUGCCGUAGGACCCGGGUUCAAUUCCCGGCAGCUCCACAA